rnacentral:rRNA from 1 species
AGUGAACGCUGGCGGUAGGCCUAACGCAUGCAAGUCGAACGGCAGCACAGUAAGAGCUUGCUCUUACGGGUGGCGAGUGGCGGACGGGUGAGGAAUACAUCGGAAUCUACUUUUUCGUGGGGGGUAACGUAGGGAAACUUACGCUAAUACCGCAUACGACCUACGGGUGAAAGCAGGGGAUCUUCGGACCUUGCGCGAUUGAAUGAGCCGAUGUCGGAUUAGCUAGUUGGCGGGGUAAAGGCCCACCAAGGCGACGAUCCGUAGCUGGUCUGAGAGGAUGAUCAGCCACACUGGAACUGAGACACGGUCCAGACUCCUACGGGAGGCAGCAGUGGGGAAUAUUGGACAAUGGGCGCAAGCCUGAUCCAGCCAUACCGCGUGGGUGAAGAAGGCCUUCGGGUUGUAAAGCCCUUUUGUUGGGAAAGAAAAGCAGCAGGUUAAUACCCCGCUGUUCUGACGGUACCCAAAGAAUAAGCACCGGCUAACUUCGUG